rnacentral:rRNA from 1 species
CCUACGGGAGGCAGCAGUAGGGAAUAUUGCUCAAUGGGGGAAACCCUGAAGCAGCAACGCCGCGUGGAGGAUGAAGGUUUUCGGAUUGUAAACUCCUUUUGUUAGAGAAGAUAAUGACGGUAUCUAACGAAUAAGCACCGGCUAUCUCCGUGCCAGCAGCCGCGGUAAUACGGAGGGUGCAAGCGUUACUCGGAAUCACUGGGCGUAACGAGCGCGUAGGCGGGAUAGCAAGUCAGAGGUGAAAUCCUAUGGCUUAACCAGAGAACUGCAUUUGAAACUGUUAUUCUAGAGUUUGGGAGAGGUAGGAGGAAUUCGUGGUGUAGGGGUAAAAUCCAUAGAGAUCAAGAGGAAUACUCAUUGCGAAGGCGACCUGCUAGAACAUAACUGACGCUGAUGCACGAAAGCGUGGGGAGCAAACAGGAUUAGAUACCCGGGUAGUC